GCCGCGUGAGUGAUGAAGGUUUUCGGAUCGUAAAGCUCUGUUGUUAGGGAAGAACAAGUACCGUUCGAAUAGGGCGGUACCUUGACGGUACCUAACCAGAAAGCCACGGCUAACUACGUGCCAGCAGCCGCGGUAAUACGUAGGUGGCAAGCGUUGUCCGGAAUUAUUGGGCGUAAAGGGCUCGCAGGCGGUUUCUUAAGUCUGAUGUGAAAGCCCCCGGCUCAACCGGGGAGGGUCAUUGGAAACUGGGGAACUUGAGUGCAGAAGAGGAGAGUGGAAUUCCACGUGUAGCGGUGAAAUGCGUAGAGAUGUGGAGGAACACCAGUGGCGAAGGCGACUCUCUGGUCUGUAACUGACGCUGAGGAGCG
rnacentral:rRNA from 1 species